rnacentral:tRNA from 1 species
GCCUUCGUGGUGUAAUGGUCAGCAUACUGACUCGUAUUCGAUAGGUCCGAGGUUCGAGUCUCGGCCAGGGCA